UACGUAGGGGGCAAGCGUUGUCCGGAUUUAUUGGGCGUAAAGAGCGUGUAGGCGGUUUUACAGGUCCGUUGUGAAAACUCGAGGCUCAACCUCGAGACGCCGGUGGAAACCGUAAAGCUAGAGUCCGGAAGAGGAGAGUGGAAUUCCUGGUGUAGCGGUGAAAUGCGCAGAUAUCAGGAGGAACACCCGUGGCGAAAGCGGCUCUCUGGGACGGUACUGACGCUGAGACGCGAAAGCGUGGGGAGCAAACAGG
rnacentral:rRNA from 1 species